UACAGAGGAUGCAAGCGUUAUCCGGAAUGAUUGGGCGUAAAGCGUCUGUAGGUGGCUUUUUAAGUCCGCCGUCAAAUCCCAGGGCUCAACUCUGGAACAGGCGGUGGAAACUACCAAGCUGGAGUACGGUAGGGGGCAGGAGGGAAUUUCCGGUGGAGCGGUGAAAGUGAGCGUAGAGAUCGGAAAGAACACCAACGGCGAAAGCACUCUGCUGGGCCGACACUGACACUGAGAGACGAAAGCUAGGGGAGCGAAUGGG
rnacentral:rRNA from 1 species